AUGAAAAAUGGUGAAGGGGAGUCAGAAGUUCUGAGCACAGGCCACCUCUUUCUUGGCAGUUAUUUAACAGUAUGUGAGUUACCUCACUUCUUAGCUUAGAUUUCUCCCCUACAAAAUGGAAAUAAUAAUAUCAACCUCAUAGAUUUCUUGUGAAGAUCAAAUGGAAUGAUGGCAUUGACGGACUCAGUGGGAAUUCAAGAAGUUAGCAAGCUUUAGAAUGUACCAUCUUGAAACAUCAUGACUUGUGGAGUGAUAAUGCUGUCCAAUCAUCUAUGCAUUCAUAGUCUUCCCAUCUGCUGCUUGCCUUCCCUUCAGUUCUAAGAGGAGGAACAGAACCAUAAUUCAGUAGUACUGAGAGCCUGGCCUGAAGUAACUAUGUAUAUGUGAAACCAAGAAGUCACUUCAUUAUCCCAAAGUUAUUUGUCUUGUGUCCCCCUCACAAAUUCAGGCUGAC